ACAAUUUCAACAAGAUCAAAAUACAAAUCUUAUUCUAUAAGUUUAACAGAAAAUGGUUUGGUUCUUAUUGAUACAUGAGUUUAGCUACGACUAGUGCUGCAAAAACAUCGAUGUUAACAUCGAUGUCAUGGAUGUUUUUAUACUUGUGCGAUGCAUCGAUGUUUUUUUUGUAUCAUCGAUGUUUCACUGUAUUCACUGACAUAAGGCAUUUAUUUGGUUUGUUCCAGUCCCACCUCAGCGAUAGAUUGUCAAGGGCUGAGUCCAAGGUUUUCCAAGGAGACUAUGGUGUAGGACAGUAUCGGUGAGAGCGAGAUUCCGUUACUGAAGAAAAGAAGGAAGACGAUAGGAUUAGUUAGGUGUAUUGGUAAAGGCAGGCAUGCGUGAGAGGGAUUAAAUAGGAGUGAAACAAAUCUAAAACGUGGGCAUAAGAAUUGCUGGUCAUCCGAAGCGGAGGUACUAAUUAAUAGCAGAGCUAGAAUCUAGGCCGAGUGGGGUUAAACCCGAUUAGUGGAAUUUUCAAAAACCUGGCCCGGAAGAUUGCCCAGCGCAGCCGAGUCAGUGAUUUUGCCCGAGGGAGAUAAUUUCUGGAGAGGAUGUGCCAGAUGAGCCGACCGUCGAAACCAAAUUGUGAGUCCGUUCCGUGCCUGUUAUUUUGAGCCGUGUAUGAAGCCGAGAUUUGUGAGGGGUGCAUGUCUAACCAGGUCAAACGAACGAUCCGCGCAGAGUGACCAAGGACCGUGCCGCAGACGCAGUGGUACACGUAGUCCGAGCCGUUGGACUCUGCCGGAGCCACCUCUACGAUCACCUAAGGAUUUGCACUCACGUUUGCACUCACGUUUACACUCAAUUUUGCACCUACAUAUUGGCAGAUCGACGAUCGCCCACAGUACAUAUAUUUUUUUUGGGAAUUGUUCCUCACACUCCUCGCAAGCCGUUACGGACACAUAUGUGCCCGACAGUAUUCGUAUUGUCCAUCGUGUUGUCCCUAUUAUAUGUGUUAAUUGUUAUUUAUUAGUAAUUUAAGCAAACCCUAACGUAAAAAAACACUUUUGUAAACGCCAAACAUUGGCGCCGACAUAGACACAAAACAAAACAUAUGGUAGGAUUAACCCUUGUGCGCGGCGCGGGGUCCCACAAGCCCACCGUUUUGGUGAAAUAUUGUUUGGUAAUUUUUGUUGUCGAUGGCCUUGUUUAUAUCUGCCCCUAUGACCCUUAACAAGAGCUCUUGGUAGGUUAGUCUCGGGAGGGCCC